rnacentral:rRNA from 1 species
AGAGUUUGAUCCUGGCUCAGAAUAAACGCUGGCGGCGUGCCUAACACAUGCAAGUCGAGCGAGAAAGUUCCUUCGGGAAUGAGUACAGCGGCGAACGGGUGAGUAACGCGUGAGAAUCUACCGUUUAGUGGAGAAUAACACCGAGAAAUCGAUGUCAAUACUGCAUAAGUCCCUGCGGGGAGAAAGAUGGCCUCUUGCUAUCGCUAAAUGAUGAGCUUGCGUACUAUUAGCUAGUUGGUGGGGUAAUGGCUCACCAAGGCGAUGAUGGUUAACCGGCCUGAGAGGGUGUACGGUCACACUGGAACUUAGACACGGUCCAGACUCCUACGGGAGGCAGCAGUGAGGAAUAUUGCGCAAUGGGCGAAAGCCUGACGCAGCGACGCCGCGUGGAGGAUGAAGGUCUUCGGAUUGUAAA